rnacentral:rRNA from 1 species
CCAGACUCCUACGGGAGGCAGCAGUGGGGAAUAUUGCACAAUGGGGGAAACCCUGAUGCAGCGACGCCGCGUGAGCGAUGAAGUAUUUCGGUAUGUAAAGCUCUAUCAGCAGGGAAGAAAAUGACGGUACCUGACUAAGAAGCCCCGGCUAACUACGUGCCAGCAGCCGCGGUAAUACGUAGGGGGCAAGCGUUAUCCGGAUUUACUGGGUGUAAAGGGAGCGUAGACGGUCCUGCAAGCCAGAUGUGAAAGCCCGGGGCUCAACCCCGGGACUGCAUUUGGAACUGUAAGGCUAGAGUGUCGGAGAGGCAGGCGGAAUUCCUAGUGUAGCGGUGAAAUGCGUAGAUAUCAGGAGGAACACCGGCGGCGAAGGCGGCCUGCUGGACCGUGACUGACGUUGAGGCUCGAGAGCGUGGGGAGCAAACAGGAUUAGAUACCCGAGUA